rnacentral:rRNA from 1 species
UAGUUGGUGAGGUAACGGCUCACCAAGGCGACGAUGCGUAGCCNACCUGAGAGGGUGAUCGGCCACACUGGGACUGAGACACGGCCCAGACUCCUACGGGAGGCAGCAGUAGGGAAUCUUCCGCAAUGGACGAAAGUCUGACGGAGCAACGCCGCGUGAGUGAUGAAGGUUUUCGGAUCGUAAAACUCUGUUGUCAGGGAAGAACAAGUACCGGAGUAACUGCCGGUACCUUGACGGUACCUGACCAGAAAGCCACGGCUANAUACGUGCCAGCAGCCGCGGUAAUACGUAGGUGGCAAGCGUUGUCCGGAAUUAUUGGGCGUAAAGCGCGCGCAGGCGGUUCCUUAAGUCUGAUGUGAAAGCCCCCGGCUCAACCGGGGAGGGUCAUUGGAAACUGGGGAACUUGAGUGCAGAANAGAAGAGUGGAAUUCCACGUGUAGCGNUGAAAUGCGUANAGAUGUGGAGGAACACCAGUGGCGAANGCGACUCUUUGGUCUGUAACUGACGCUNAGGCGCGAAAGCGUGGGGAGCAACAGGAUUAGAUACCCUGGUAGUCCNCGCCNUAAACNAUGAGUGCUAANUGUUAGAGGGUUUCC